CCUACGGGUCGCACCAGUGGGGAAUAUUGCACAAUGGGCGCAAGCCUGAUGCAGCCAUGCCGCGUGUAUGAAGAAGGCCUUCGGGUUGUAAAGUACUUUCAGCGAGGAGGAAGGCGAUAAGGUUAAUAACCUUGUCGAUUGACGUUACUCGCAGAAGAAGCACCGGCUAACUCCGUGCCAGCAGCCGCGGUAAUACGGAGGGUACAAGCGUUAAUCGGAAUUACUGGGCGUAAAGCGCUCGCAGGCGGUCUGUCAAGUCGGAUGUGAAAUCCCCGGGCUCAACCUGGGAACUGCAUUCGAAACUGGCAGGCUAGAGUCUUGUAGAGGGGGGUAGAAUUCCAGGUGUAGCAGUGAAAUACGUAGAGAUCUGGAGGAAUACCGGUGGCGAGGGCGGCCCCCUGGACAAAGGCUGACGCUCAGGUGCGAAAGCGUGGGGAGCAAACAGGAUUAGAUACCCUAGUAGUC
rnacentral:rRNA from 1 species